UACGUAGGGGGCAAGCGUUGUCCGGAUUUAUUGGGCGUAAAGAGCGUGUAGGCGGCCUGGUAGGUCGGUUGUGAAAACUGGAGGCUUAACCUUCAGACGUCGGCCGAAACCAUCUGGCUAGAGUCCGGAAGAGGAGAGUGGAAUUCCUGGUGUAGCGGUGAAAUGCGCAGAUAUCAGGAAGAACACCCGUGGCGAAAGCGGCUCUCUGGGACGGUACUGACGCUGAGACGCGAAAGCGUGGGGAGCGAACAGG
rnacentral:rRNA from 1 species